UGUUCUCUCAGCGUAGAAGGCCUUGCUGCCCUCGCGCUCGCUAUUUAUAGUCCCUCGGCUCUCGCGAGAACACCGCCCGGCUGUGCCAGCCCCGCGCUCUGCAUGAGGAAUACACCGCGAGGCAGAGCGGCGCCUUCCUUCUCCCUUAUACAUGGUGCGGGGCAGCAGCGCGCGUGCGCCAGCCCUACAUAAAAGGCGCGCAGGCACGUAACGCUCAGUCUGAGGUUGUCCGAGGGUCAGCUGUACAGAGCAAUGGGGAUGUUACAAGGGACCUCGGACGACAGUGCGCCCAAGGAUGUAAUUCUUGCAAUUGUGACUGGCGCAUCCUGAAGGAUGGCAGGUAAACCAGCAGGAACCAGUCGAAGCCAAGGUGAGGAACUUGAGAAACUCUGGAAAUGGAGCGAUGAGCCAAGACGAGACCACGUGUAGAAGACUCGGAGUGCAUGGAAAGGAUACUAAGAGAUCUCUUCAACAACCACUAGGGACCGCCAGAGACUACUGAAGACCCCCAUGUGGUCCCUUGGAGACCUAGGCUGGAUGUGUAUUGACACUGUAAAUAUAACCAUUAAUUCCAGGAAAUGGAAUGAAUAUGUAAUCAUUGUGGGAAAUUUAAUGUGUUACCUGACAGGCUGAUAAAAAAUGUUGCCUGUUGUGGCAUGCAUGCUGGGUGGAGUGAUCUCUGUGCAUCUAGUGCUGCAAUAAGAGCAUUCCUGCUUCCUAAUGUAUCUGUGCUAAGGUUUAUUCCUGACUUUGGUGGUAGGGAUGUGGCAAUAACUGCGUGUUCACAGCUGGAACACUUUGAAAUUAUUCAGUUCUGUAUCCUUACGUGCAAUAAAAGAUCAUUUGCUUGAAA